GCGUACGGAUCAACAAUCCGUAUGAACCAUAUGGAUUGGCAAUCCGUAUGGUCAUACGGAUUGUUGAUCCGUACGUGUCAUU
rfam:Glycine soja cultivar W05 scaffold3415_4, whole genome shotgun sequence.